CUGGCGCAACAUCCACAACUAAUCUCCACUAUUGAUUUAACGCUCUCAGAAGAAGGUAAUAUCCCAGGAAUCUUCCGUAAGAUUGAGGAGUCACCUUUCCCUUCAGAUGACUUGCCAAAAGCGGACUUUCCAUAAGGAACCAGGGUAGAUCACCUAUAAAUACUAAAGGUUUCUUCAGGGACUCCGGCCUUUGCAUAGGAAUCUAGUCGGUCAUAAUUUGUGGCAUCAGAUUGGCGUCGUCCGCAGGAACGAAGACAUCAAGGCUCGAACGUACGAAAUGCAGCUAUAGAGUGAGUGUGUAGUCUCGCCACUAGGACGAGAAAGGGGACCUUCCCAUCCUUGAUGCCCAGCAACCACACUGGGCAUCCAAAUUCAUUCACACAUCCAGCCGCAACCCAUUUCUGCACAAGCUCCGUUAGUAGCAGUUGAGGGACCAAUACCGCCUCAACCAUUAGCAAUAACAGGGGCAAGACUCUUACUGCCACCUCCAAUGGCAGCGGCGACACGCCCCAUGGCACAACCGCCGCUGGUGUGCACAAAUCCAGAGAUCCCGGUUGUUACUUCUCAGAUCUAGGAUUUGCAGAUGAAGAUGUUGGAGACUAAUAACAUGGUUAGGAACUUCACCAGACAGUUCGGCUCCUCCCUGUCGAUAGCACCCGUUCUGUAAUUGAAUCCGCAGACCACCGUCAGCCCCAAGGCAUAGCCACACUAGGUUGACGAGCCCGCGUAGACAUCAGUCGGAGCGCAAACCGUGUUUGGUUUACCAGCCAAGAGCAAACCAUCCUACGCGAACUCAGGGAGUGUCACAGAGGAACAAUGCAGCUCAUCCAGAAGCUUCAACUCAUCCUCUGAGACGUUAAGCCUAUGCAGCGGGGAGCAAUCCCCUCCACAUGCCUAGACGAACCGAGAACACACUGAAGAACUCAUACCCGUACGGAGGGCAUAAGUGAUGCAUCUACUAGAACGGAAAGUUGAAGCCAUAAUACGAUGGAAAAGGUCCGAUCGUGGCUCUGGGAUAAUCAUGUUAAGCGACCUCCAUGUGCUCGGAGCCCAGCUCAGACCAACCAUAGGACCCACGAGGCUGACCCGAGGUCGCCUACAAAAGCUGAACUGGGGCGAUGGAACCUAGAAUUGCGCCUCCUCCAAUAACUGAGUGAGAAAGUUGAUGGCCUCAGAUAGCCAACGUCAGACCUAGAAGUUGCUCUGGCACACAAUGCCUUGUCAGAUGAGUUGAUGAAUGCAGCUCUCCCAAGGAGCUUUAGUAUGCCUACCUUCUUGAUGUACAACGAAACGACCAACCUGUCCGACCACUUACGGUACUAAGGCUCAGUGAUAACCUUGUAUGGGAAAUCGGACGCCACUCUUUGUCGGGCUUUCCCCACCUCCCUGAAGGACAUGGUCAUUCUCUGGAUGUCCAACUUAAGGCCGAGAUCAAUUUGGAACUAGGAUAAACUAACCAAAGCUUUCUUAUGAGGUUUCAAGGCAAACACCUGCCAAUGUGAUGAAUAUGAGACAGAAGCCAGGCAAUCCGAUUAGGGAAUUCCUCACAAGGUUCACCAAGGCCAUACUAGAAGUGAAGAACUUGCCAGAAGGGGUGGUGUACAGUUCCUUGUGCAAUGCUAUUACUCAUCUAGAACUAGUUCAUUCCAUGGCCUUUGACUUGCCGGAGACCAUAACUAAACUACUUCAGAGAUGUAACUAGUACGCCAACAUGGAUGAUGUGUUAGAUGCCAAAAGGAUUAUUAAUAAACCAGAACAGGUUGAUAAAGAUAAGAAGAGACCUCAACGACUGAAGGACGGUGACUAAGAGCCAAAGAAAACUAGUCAAACCACCCCGCUGAGAAGUCUGACAACUCAGACCAGUAUGAGUUAGACAAGUCCCGGACAAAUCUGCUGCUGGAAAUUCAAGAUCAAAAGUUUUUCCGCUAGCCGAAGCUGUUGUUUGCAAAGCCAGAGGAAAGAAACCUCAACAAGUACUGCAGAUACUACAAGGACCAUGGGUAUAACAUGGAGAAUUAUAAAGUAUUGAAAAGAGAGAUUGAUGAAUUGAUCAAGGCGGGAUAUCUCAACAAAUACCUCAUGUAGAAAUUUGGGGAGAGCCGGCUAGCUCGGGAUUAAGCUAGCCCAAGCCAGAAGCAGGUUGAGCUAAGGGCCAAAGAUCUGGGAAACGUACACCUCGGCACCAGUAGCAUUCGGCCAACCGGCCGAGCCAUGCGAUUAUUGCCCAGUUAGUGGUUGCUAAUUUCCCAUUCCAUAGGGAGUUGGUGGAUAAAGGAGCAUGUGUUGACCUUAUGUCUUACAAAGCGUACCAAAAGCUUGGGCUCAGGGUAGAUAGGAUAAAAGUGGCAGGUCGGCCACUAUACAAGUUUUUGGGAGCGUCAUCCAAAAUAGAAGGGACCAUAGAGCUACCUGUAACUAUCAGUGAAAGUCUAAAAUCCUCUACGGUUGGAAGUGGCACCACGAAGGGUAGAAGAACCUAGAAGGAGUAAAAGGGGGAGUGGGUCAUUAGAACAAGGGGCCUGUAUGGUUGAGGAAUCAGGGGGAAAGAGGUAAGAAAUCCUCAGCAAAGCAAAAGGGAUGCCUGACUAUGAGAGCUUGGUCAAGGGGUCGAGCAAAAGGAUGGUGAUUUCUUGAUGAGCCAACUGGCAGGGGGGAUGGAGUGUAACAAUGGAAGGGAGAGUAAGAAGAUCAGAUUUUGUGGCAGAAAGGGUUGUAGGGUCAACGUCUUGCAGCACAGAGAAAGGGUUUGAACUGCUAGUCAAUUCAGGGUUAUGGACCUGUGGCAGGGAGGAUGCAGCUUGGUCGUGAGUCGUGACCUCUCGGAGAGCCAAAGGCAGGGACUUCUUUCAGGAAAGGACGACAAUGACAGCGGAAGAUCUUGCACCGGCCACAAUUAGGAGAGCGGAAGCUACCCAAAGCAGAGGGGUCAAGUGGAAGAGAGAUUCAUAUGACGGGGGGUAUAUGGUAUAAGGGAUGUUGGUAGUGAUAGUUGAAGCUGAGGUGUGCGGAGGGGGAGAAGGUUGAUGGUGGUUGGUGGUUACAAUUAGGUUUUGGUCAGGGGUAUGAGAAGGAGCUACCUGAAAAGGGGGGUUGUUAGACAGUGCUUAGGAAUGGCCAAGGACCUUGCGGACGUGGCAUUGAGGCGGGAACCAUUCAAAGUUGAUCUUCUGGUUGCAAGUGAAGCCAUCAUUGUUAGACACCUAGAUUGAGGAUGGAGGAGCUCCAUCGGCCAACAACUCGACAAAAAUCCUAGCAUAAGUAGUCUGUCUUGCCUCUUUGUUCUACCAUCAGAGAAAAGAGGUUUUCCUAGUACAGAGCCUACAAUGCUAACCUCAUCUUCACACUAGAAGUGUAGGGGAAGACCAGGGAGAGGAACCAAAGAGGAAUGAUGUUAAGUUUGACCCUUUAGAGUUGCAGGUAUCUUUCCCAGUGACGGAGGGAUAUGGGCUUUUUGCCGACUUACCAAGGACCACCCUCAAGGGCUCGAAUCUUGUCUUCUUUGUCGGAGAAUUUGAAGAUGAAGAACCCAUUGUCCAAGAGAUUCCCAGGGUAGAGGGCUGUCUUAGUAUUGCCUAUUAUGGUUGGAGGGAUAAAAUGGAGAGCGAGACCUUCAUUGAGGGAGUGAGAGGUAUGUCUGAAAAGGGUACUCCAUGCCAG